GAUGGAAGAACGUAGCGAAAUGCGAUACGUAAUGUGAAUUGCAGAAUUCAGAGAAUCAUCGAGUCUUUGAACGCACAUUGCGCCCCCUGGUAUUCCGGGGGGCAUGCCUGUCCGAGCGUCAUUGCUGCCCUCAAGCACGGCUUGUGUGUUGGGCCUCCGUCCUCCUCCCGGGGGACGGGCCCGAAAGGCAGCGGCGGCACCGCGUCCGGUCCUCGAGCGUAUGGGGCUUCGUCACCCGCUCUUGUAGGCCCGGCCGGCGCUUGCCGACACAUCAAUCUUUUUUCCAGGUUGACCUCGGAUCAGGUAGGGAUACCCGCUGAACUUAAGCAUAUCAAUAAGCGGAGGA
rnacentral:misc_RNA from 1 species